rnacentral:rRNA from 1 species
UUUGUCUGCCAUAGCAUCUUGUGCUGUGAUCCUGUCAGAUAUCACAAGUUAAACAGGAUUAGGCUUGGUUAGCACUUUGAAGACACUGCAAAGGAAAAUCAAAGGUUCGGCUGGAC